UGCUAACCUCUAAUACUAAAUUUACUUGGUAAAAUCAAAGGUUGUGCUUGAAAUUAGAUGUUUCUGCUUGAUCAAUUAAAAAACUCUUCCAAUAUAAAAAUACUUACAAAAAAGUCUGGUAGAGCUGACAUCAUUAUUGUUAAUUUCCUGUUUAUUUUGUGGGUUUUGUGCACAUCCUGCCACAUGGCUCAUUGGAUUUCCAAUAUUACUUCGGUUUGCACCUAUAAUUGGAAUGUUUACAUGUGCAGUAUUUAGAAAUCAAACAAAAAGUGUUUUGUGCUUGAAAUUAGACCCCUUAGCCGGGAUACCGGGAAGAGAGACAAUUAGACCCGGAUACUUGGCAGUUUCUGGCUGCAAGGUCUCGAUGGACAAACUUUUGCUCAGCCAAGUAGGCCAUUCCCAGUGCAAUUUGAUGGCACAUCUUUAAUAGCAGUUUCCUCAAUGCCAGAAUCUGUGGAGAAUGGCAAGACAGCUGAUUGGUGGUGCUGUCAUCAUUGAUCUCAGUAUAAUUAUUUCGGCCCCACCCACCACUUGUUUGAGACUAUAAUUAUAAUCAGUAUAACUAUCUCUACUCACUAUAGUCGCUAUACAUACAGAGAAGUAUAAUUAUAGUACUUCCAGCUCGAAAAUAUUAUACUGCACACCUGAUCAAUCUCACAGUCAUCGUCCAGCUCAAGGAUGCUCCUCUCUCUCUUAAGGUAGUCGAAGAGGCUCCCGUUUUCCAUAUAUGGCAUCACUAUGGCAAUGCCGGGACCAGCAUCGAGGCACACCCCAAUCAAGGACAUGACGUGAGGAUGGUGGAGGUCCUGCAUCUUGUUCACCUCACACAUCAUGCUCUGAACAUCUGACCACGAAAACAGACCUACAAGGAGCAAUGGCUAAUGUCCAGCUAUCCCAACAGUGCUCCUCUUGGCUAUACUAACGAACAAGACUGGACAGUUUGAGCUCAUUCUUGACUUGAAGCAUUGGUUUGUUUGCCAACGACUGUAGAAAAUGGACUAGCUAUUCCCUUAACUUUCUGGGAAAGAGUAACUGCUUUACUGCAUGAGUUGUGCAGAAAUAAAUAUUAAGGGAAAGAUGACUGCAAUCAAAAUGUGCUGCUGUGCGCUCUUCUGUCCACAUGUGAUGUGCUGUGCUGUGAUAGCGAAUAUUGAACAGUAAUGUGUUGUGUGUUAUAAUGCUGUGAUUCUGUGUAGUUCGGCUAAUCGAUUCGUUCAUAUUGUGAUUUGAAUUUUAAAAGUUGUUUAUAACUACAAUAAUUAUUAUACCCACAUAAGAAAUAACCAUUUUACCAUCUUGAAAUAUAACCGAGUCGUCUGGCUAAUACGCCUACAUUUCAAUGCCAUGGAGAGUGAGGUUAUUUCCACAUUAUUGUAUACUUAUUAUAAUUAUACAACUAUUU